CAGGCUCAGUGCGGACAAGAGAAGCCGCUGUACUGCGCCCGCCCUCACUUGCCGCCCGCCUCUGCUCCGGGAGCAAAAUGGGACAGAGAAGAACAAAGGGGUUUCCAUGCACAAGAGAGAGAAUAUAAAAGGCCCUGGAAGCCCCUCCAUUUUGUCUUCAGCUGGCUCAAGAGAUGACCUCUCCACCCCAAAGAGAUGCCUGAAAGAAACUAGAACAAAGGACUAUAACUACGGGGAUGUGAGUGAUUGUGGGACCCAGACCAUAAACCACAAUGUUGGUCUGUAAAGGAUUGGGCCCAGACUAGGAAGGAUUCAAGUCUGUGAAAGAAGCUUAUUGGAACAUCUCUGAGGGUGAGAUUUACCUGUAUUCAGUUUCCUACUGCAUUAGGCUUAGACUUGCAUGUUUUGUUUUGUUUUUGCUUGGUAACUUACUUUGUUCUGUCUGUUGUUACUUGGAACCACUUAAAUCCUACUUUUUGUACUUAAUAAAAUCACUUUUGCUUAUUAA